rnacentral:rRNA from 1 species
UCUUGGUCAUUUAGAGGAAGUAAAAGUCGUAACAAGGUUUCCGUAGGUGAACCUGCGGAAGGAUCAUUAUUGAAUAAACUUAGUGGGUUGUAGCUGGCUCUUCGGAGCAUGUGCACGCCUGUUACUUUUAUCCUUUUCCACCUGUGCACUCUUUGUAGACUUUUGGAAUACCUAUCGGGAGCAAUCCGGAUUUUGAGGUUUGCUGUGCGGAAGCCAGCUUUCCUUGUGUUUCCAAAGUCUAUGUUUUCAUACACACUGUAUGUCUUGAAUGAUUUCUUAAUGGACCUUUGUGUCCAUAAAAACAAAUACAACUUUCAGCAACGGAUCUCUUGGCUCUCGCAUCGAUGAAGAACGCAGCGAAAUGCGAUAAGUAAUGUGAAUUGCAGAAUUCAGUGAAUCAUCGAAUCUUUGAACGCACCUUGCGCUCCUUGGUAUUCCGAGGAGCAUGCCUGUUUGAGUGUCAUUAAAUUAUCAACCUCUCCGGUUUUUUUUUGUAUAGACCGUGAAAGGCUUGGAUGUGGAGGUAUUUGCUGGCUUUCACAAUCAGCUCCUCUAAAAUGCAUUAGCGAAAUCUUGUGUGAUUCAUCGAUUUGGUGUGAUAAUUAUCUACGCCAUGCGAUGUCGCAUCAUCCUUUGAGAUUUAGCUUAUAACAGUCCAUUCAAUUGGACAAAAAUUAUUUGACAAUUUGACCUCAAAUCAGGUAGGACUACCCGCUGAACUUAAGCAUAUCAAUAAGCGGAGGAAAAGAAACUAACAAGGAUUCCCCUA